rnacentral:rRNA from 1 species
AUUGAACGCUGGCGGCAGGCCUAACACAUGCAAGUCGAGCGGAUGAAGGGAGCUUGCUCCUGGAUUCAGCGGCGGACGGGUGAGUAAUGCCUAGGAAUCUGCCUGGUAGUGGGGGAUAACGUCCGGAAACGGGCGCUAAUACCGCAUACGUCCUGCGGGAGAAAGUGGGGGAUCUUCGGACCUCACGCUAUCAGAUGAGCCUAGGUCGGAUUAGCUAGUUGGUGGGGUAAAGGCCUACCAAGGCGACGAUCCGUAACUGGUCUGAGAGGAUGAUCAGUCACACUGGAACUGAGACACGGUCCAGACUCCUACGGGAGGCAGCGGUUGGGAAUAUUGGACAAUGGGCGAAAGCCUGAUCCAGCCAUGCCGCGUGUGUGAAGAAGGUCUGCGGAUUGUAAAGCACUUUAAGUUGGGAGGAAGGGCAGUAAGUUAAUACCUUGCUGUUUUGACGUUACCAACAGAAUAAGCACCGGCUAACUUCGU